GGGCUCGUUGCAUAGCAUGGAUAGUGCGAACGCUUGCGGAGCGUUAGGUCGGGGGUUCGAAUCCCUUCGGGCCCGCCA
rnacentral:tRNA from 1 species